AGCUGAAGAAUCCAGAUACAGUCACUCUGUUCUGCUCUGUGUUGGAAUAUGAUGACUGUCGACAUGAGGUGAAGUGGCUUUAUGAGAGGAAACGGGAAAAACCCUCAGAUAUGAAAAUAUACCAACAUUCCUGCUCUGCCACUGUGGCAUUUCCAACAUCUCAUCAGAAAUUAGACAUUUAUCCGUCUCUAACAUGUAAAGUCACAAGCUCAGUCACUAAAGCAGUUCAGCUGAUCCCCUUCAGUCUUCAGUCCUCAGAUGUGACCCAGUCAACACCAACAGCAACACAUCACUGGACAUCUGCAGGGAGCAACAAGGAAGUUAAACAACAAGAUAUUUUCAGUUUGUUGAGAUGGAUCGUUGUGUCUGCGGCUUUAGCAGCUCUGGUAAUAUCGGUCGUUAUUCUCAACCUGUGGUUGAAAACUAAAGGAAAUAAAAAACAAAAUGAGCAAAACCUGGUAAGUAUAAUAACUACAUAUUUAAACGAGUAUGUUGCUGUUUAGUUUAGUAAGAAGUGGAUGUUUUAAAGUUUGUUUUUAUAUAAAAACUUAUUUUUUCUCUGAAGCUGAGUA